GUAUGGUAUCAAGAGUCAGACAUGACUGAAGCAAAGACUUACUUUUUUUUUUAGGCUCCAACGAGCUAGCGUGAUUGAUCCCUCUCUCUUUCUGGUACUCUUCUCAACCCAUGACUCUCUUCACUACCCUACUAUGGCCGCUGUCAUCAACCCACCCCACUCUCCAUCUCCUCAAACUGAUGACCACCUUAUCGACCCUCUCUAGCCUACUACAACCACCAACAUCACCGCCCCCUCCUACAUGCCAUCUCAUCAUUUGCUUUCAAUUAAGCUUGAGCCCAAAAACUAUUUAAUUUGGAAGACACAAAUAACACCCUUCCUUAAAGGGCAAAAUAUUUUUGAAUACCUCAAUGGAACCAUUCCAUGCCUAUCUAACCCUAUGGUUGUCAUUACUUGGCAUUACCGGACAAUGCCCUCAUGAGCUUGCUUAUUACGUCCCUUAGUGAAGAAGUCUUUCCACUUGUUGUUGGGAAAACUACCAGUCAAGAAAUAUGGGACACCUUGCCACUACAUUUUCUACUCCGUCCACAACUAGGGUGCUCUCUUUGCACCUUGUGCUCCAAGAUCUGGUUCACAAACCAGAUGAAUCCAUCACCACAUUUCUUCACCGAGCAAAGAUGAUAUUUGACUAACUUUCUGCUGUAGGAAAACCCCUCCCAAUGGAGGACUUUAAUAUCUAUAUUUUUUGGGCUCUUAAAUCAGAGUACCGUGACAUCUUCUCCUCCCUGUUAUGUCGUCAAGAACAGCUAUCCUAUACGGACCUUCAUGCUCUGCUUCUCAAGCAUAAGUUUCUUCAUGGAACAUCUCUCAAUAAAUUAACUUAAGUUUCUUCAACUGUGGACUCCCCUGCUGCCCAUAAUGUCCAGCCUCAGCCUAACCAAGGUAACACUUAUGACCAACCAUGAUCCUCCUCUCAUCGUGGUUCAUUCCGUGGUCAUGGUUGAAGAAGGCAUGGUCGGACUGGCCGCCUCUAUUGUGUUAUUUUCCAGUGUACCAAUCAUACAGCUACGACAUGUUAUUACCGCCAACAGUCAUGUCAACCAUCAUACCCUAAUGUUCCCCAUGCCAAUCCACCCUUUCUUCACAAUACCCACCCCCCAUCCGCCCAUCACACAGCCCCAUACCCAACUCCCACCCCUAUAACAUACACAUAGCUCCCAGACACAGGGGCUACUCACCACGUGACCCCAGAUCUAGACUCCCUCUCCUCCUAUGAUCCAUACUUUGGUCUAGACAAGCUCUACAUUUAUAAUGGAUCGACGAACGAAAGCUUCUCUUCAUAUUAGUCCGAGUAAAGAUGGCCUUCACACGUUUUCUACAGCCACAGUUCAUGCGGUAGAUUCUUGGGAUUGGGGUGGGGCCACCUACAUAUAUCUCCUGCGGGCCUUAGACUUGCUGUCAUAUGGAGACUGAGGUCUCAAGGGAGUGAGCUUCAUCCUCCAGGUAACUUUCCUUCUUGUACCCAUUUCCUUUCAUUCAUUUGGAUUACACUUUCUUACUUUAAUUUUUUGAAACAGCCUUGGUGCUUUGAGCACUUGGGGACCAUAGCUCCUAGACUGAGGGACCCUUAGGCAUUCUUCUUCCCUGUAGCCAUGAGGUGGGGAGAUAAUCGAAUGAUUAGGGCUCAGCGCCAUCCUCCUGGGACCACCGCUUGUUCUCUUUUAGAAUGAUCUCAUAGAGAUUCUGAAGGAUUUGCAUUGGCUAAACACUUAUCUGAGAACCGAGUCCUCUUUCAGGGUAUUUGGGGCCAUAUGUGGUAUUUGGGAGAGAGAGUAGUACCCCAAUGGUCGGAUAUCGAGUCACGCCCAUCUCCAGGUCUUCCUCCACCCACUAUGCAUUGCCCAGAGAUCAUCCCAGUAGACGAGAUUAAGCAUUUGGCUGAUGGAGUAUGGAAUGACUCAUUUCUUGACCAGGCUAGGGACUACAGAGCCUUCUUGGAGGAGGAGACAGGGAGAGAGCGAGGUGUAGAUCCUUCUACUAUUUGGUCACAAGUCAAUAAUGUUGACCUUCAUAAGUGGGACCCUCUACCAGUGCAGGUGGGUCUCUCAGAGUUGCUAGCAUCCCCUUCCAUGGCUUCCCCACUUGGAACUAUCCCAACUCGGCCAACCCCAGUCUCUCUCAUCUUCUAGAGUAGAAGACAGAUGCAGAUGCUUCCCUUCGGCUACCCAUUCCUUUUGACUUUGUGUCUCUGGAGGUCUAUUCUGAGAUCAGGAGGAUGCAUUAUGGCCUGUGAGAGACGAUUGUUGCCAAGGAUGGGAGGCUUGCCACCUUGGAGAGCCAAGUUAGUUCCAAUGAGCGGGAAAUCACACUGUAGGAUGCACUGAUUCAGGACAUGAUUCAGAGGCUAGAGCAGGUUGGACCAGCAUCCUCGGGUUCCCCGGUACUCCAUAGGGAUGAUUCAGAGUACGGUUCCGAGAUCUAGUCCGAAUCUGUGGCCAUGGCUCAUGUCAUCGAAUCCCUAGAAUGCUUCUGCAAGAACAGUAGGGAUGAUGUCACCUCCUUUCUUCAACUGUUUUACCAUCUCAAUCAGAACGAUUGGUGCACCACGUUUGGGAGUGCAGAGAACAUAACGAGCUAUCAUGCAAAGUAAAUAAGCAUCAUAUGAUCUCUAUUAAUGGAUUCCUCCCAUUGGUAGAUAUUGGAUGAAGAUCUGGGCCAGCUUCGUAAUGUCAA